UACGGAGGGUGCAAGCGUUGUCCGGAUUUAUUGGGUUUAAAGGGUGCGUAGGCGGCCCGUUAAGUCAGUGGUGAAAGCCUCCAGCUCAACUGGAGAACUGCCAUUGAUACUGACGGGCUUGAGUACAGACGAGGUUGGCGGAAUUGAUUGUGUAGCGGUGAAAUGCAUAGAUACAAUCAAGAACACCGAUUGCGUAGGCAGCUAACUAGGCUGUAACUGACGCUGAGGCACGAAAGCGUGGGGAGCAAACAGG
rnacentral:rRNA from 1 species